AUAGGAAGAAAAUUAAAAGGCAAUGAAAAAUUUACAUCUAAUAUAAAAUAGUGCAUAGUGAAGGAUCACUCCAGGCCCCAUAAAUACUUCAUCUCAAGUGAGUUAUUAUGGGGUCUAGAGGUCACGGGCACAAACUUCCAUUAUGGGGUUAAACUGUCUUGUAGUGGCUUAACUCCAAAGUUCUCGCAUGGCCCCUCUGCCUCUUCCGACCCUGGCAAUAAUGUGAGAGCAGUAUCUGGCACUUUAUAUAUAUAAGCUGAAAAUAUAAGAGGCAUAUAUACUUAAGUUCCUAUUCUACCUCAACGUUCCAG